GACGAACGCUGGCGGCGCGCCUAACACAUGCAAGUCGAACGGAGUUUUCAAGUGGAUCCCUUCGGGGUGAAACUUAAAAACUUAGUGGCGGACGGGUGAGUAACGCGUGAGUAACCUGCCUUUCAGAGGGGGAUAACAACCGGAAACGGUUGCUAAUACCGCAUAACGUAUCGAAGCCGCAUGGUUUUGAUACCAAAGGAGCAAUCCGCUGAGAGAUGGACUCGCGUCCAAUUAGCUAGUUGGUGAGGUAACGGCCCACCAAGGCGACGAUUGGUAGCCGGACUGAGAGGUUGAACGGCCACAUUGGGACUGAGACACGGCCCAGACUCCUACGGGAGGCAGCAGUGGGGAAUAUUGCACAAUGGGGGAAACCCUGAUGCAGCGACGCCGCGUGAGGGAAGAAGGUUUUCGGAUUGUAAACCUCUGUCCUUGGUGACGAUAAUGACGGUAGCCAAGGAGGAAGCCACGGCUAACUACGUG
rnacentral:rRNA from 1 species